CCUACGGGGCAGCAGUGGGGAAUAUUGGACAAUGGGGGCAACCCUGAUCCAGCCAUGCCGCGUGUGUGAAGAAGGCCCUCGGGUUGUAAAGCACUUUCAGUGAGGAAGAACGCCUGGUGGUUAAUACCCAUCAGGAAAGACAUCACUCACAGAAGAAGCACCGGCUAACUCCGUGCCAGCAGCCGCGGUAAUACGGAGGGUGCGAGCGUUAAUCGGAAUUACUGGGCGUAAAGCGCGCGUAGGUGGCUUGAUAAGCCGGUUGUGAAAGCCCCGGGCUCAACCUGGGAACGGCAUCCGGAACUAUCAAGCUAGAGUGCAGGAGAGGAAGGUAGAAUUCCCGGUGUAGCGGUGAAAUGCGUAGAGAUCGGGAGGAAUACCAGUGGCGAAGGCGGCCUUCUGGACUGACACUGACACUGAGGUGCGAAAGCGUGGGUAGCAAACAGGAUUAGAUACCCCUGUAGUC
rnacentral:rRNA from 1 species